AUUGAACGCUGGCGGAAUGCUUUACACAUGCAAGUCGAACGGCAGCGCGGACUUCGGUCUGGUGGCGAGUGGCGAACGGGUGAGUAAUGUAUCGGAACGUGCCCAGUCGUGGGGGAUAACGUAGCGAAAGUUACGCUAAUACCGCAUACGAUCUAAGGAUGAAAGCGGGGGAUCGCAACACCUCGCGCGAUUGGAGCGGCCGAUAUCAGAUUAGGUAGUUGGUGGGGUAAAGGCUCACCAAGCCAACGAUCUGUAGCUGGUCUGAGAGGACGACCAGCCACACUGGAACUGAGACACGGUCCAGACUCCUACGGGAGGCAGCAGUGGGGAAUUUUGGACAAUGGACGCAAGUCUGAUCCAGCCAUUCCGCGUGCAGGAUGAAGGCCCUCGGGUUGUAAACUGCUUUUGUACGGAACGAAAAGGUCUCUCUUAAUACGGGGGACUCAUGACGGUACCGUAAGAAUAAGCACCGGCUAACUACGUGCCAGCAGCCGCAGUAA
rnacentral:rRNA from 1 species